rnacentral:lncRNA from 1 species
GCCAAAUCUGCUGAAGCCAUCCCUGGAGACUCGCAGCGCUGCCACGAGAGCUACCAUGGUAGUAUGCCAUUGAAAGCGGCUGGACCUGCCAUGGCUGGACCGCCCAAGCCACCCCGCCAACCAGCUCACCCCCAUGAGCAGUACCGAGCGCGUCCGCUAGCCACCCAAUCGCGCUGGUCACGCUGCGUCACCCCUCCGGCCGUCGUAGCAGCGAGCCACCGUCGCAACUCUCGGGAAGCUUCACAACCGACAUAGCCGGCCUACUUAUACCCCCAAGCCUUCCUCAGUUGACCACAGUGUGCUAGAGAACCCCUAGGGACCCCCUGAUGCGACCAGUGACCGGAGGAAACCACAUUCCAGCCCUCCUGCGAGCCCAGCCGUAGUCACGCGUCGAGCAAAUUCGGCCAACCCAUGCCCUUUCCUUGGGUGUUGUUCUCCUGGAGCUCCAAGGGAAGCCAUGGCCUCCUCCCCCG